rfam:Dorea sp. 42_8 Ley3_66761_scaffold_3044, whole genome shotgun sequence.
AGAAAUGCAAUGAAAGGGAUACGUCAUAAAAGUUAACUGGAAUUCAGAGAGCCGUUGGAUGGUGUGAAACGGCAGAAAGUAUUUUAUGAUAUCACCCAGGAGCAUCCCGCUGAAAUAUACAGGUUGGAAGAAUCAACAUAGUCAGGUAUCGAGUAAGCCGGGACGUUGUCUUCACGUUACAGAAGAAACUGUUAGAUAUUUUGACAGUAACAAGUGGUUGUGGUUAGUGAUGACUGCAGUAAAACGAAGUGGUACCACGGAAGAAUAUUCCGCCUUUGUU